UACGUAGGGGCCAAGCGUUGUUCGGAUUUACUGGGCGUAAAGGGCGCGUAGGCGGCGUGGUAAGUCACUUGUGAAAUCUCCGAGCUUAACUCGGAACGGCCAAGUGAUACUGCUGCGCUAGAGUGCAGAAGGGGCAAUCGGAAUUCUUGGUGUAGCGGUGAAAUGCGUAGAUAUCAAGAGGAACACCUGAGGUGAAGACGGGUUGCUGGGCUGACACUGACGCUGAGGCGCGAAAGCCAGGGGAGCAAACGGG
rnacentral:rRNA from 1 species